rfam:Gossypium arboreum cultivar AKA8401 contig_29975_1, whole genome shotgun sequence.
AAACCAUGCAUAGGACAUUUUCUAUGUAAUUCCUUAAAUCUUUCCCAGGCUUCGUAAAUCAUUUCAUCCUUUGAUCGUUGAAAAGAUGCGAUAUCAUUUCUAAGCUU